AGAAACCAUGGAACCCAGGAACCAUGAAAUCUAAGGAACCAUGGAAUCCUAGAAACCAUGGGAUCUUAGGAACCAUGGAAAAUGCCUAAGGAGUGUGCUAGGUCUCUCCAGCACUCCUCAGGGAGCAGAACUUCACUGCCUUUGGCCACGGAAAACAGAAGGGCUGGGAAUGAUUCCUGGCUGGUGACAGAAGCAGAAACAGGUCCUGAAUGCAGCUGUGGCUGCCCCUGGAUCCCUGGCAGUGCCCAAGGCCAGGCUGGACACUGGAGCUUGGAGAAGCCUGGGAUAGUGGAAGUGUCCCUGCCAUGGCAGGGGGUGGAAGGGGAUGAGCUUUAAGGUUCCUUCCAUCCAAACCUGUCUGUGAUCCCAUAAUUCCAUGAUUCCAUGAUUCCAUUCUGCAUCUGCACACGGCUGUGGGGAUGGAGGUGUUUUGUCCCAGUGCAGAGCUCUGUCCUGCUCAUAUCCCCACCCAAACUAUCUUUCAGGAAAGCAAAAAUCCCAAACGCAUUCAGAUUUACCUUUGUUUGGUUUUUGAGAUCUGUUUUUGCUAACAUUUUCCUACAUAAUCAAAUAUAUUCCUGCCUUGGUAA